rnacentral:rRNA from 1 species
AUACGGAGGAUGCGAGCGUUAUCCGGAUUUAUUGGGUUUAAAGGGAGCGUAGGCGGGAGCUUAAGUCAGCGGUUAAAUGGUGCGGCUCAACCGUGCCCUGCCGUUGAAACUGGGUUUCUUGAGAGUGCAAGAGGCGGAAGGAAUUCAUGGGGGAGCGGGGAAAUGCUUAGAUAUCAUGAAGAACUCCGAUUGCGAAGGCAGUCCGCUGGGGCACGUCUGACGCUGAUGCUCGAAGGUGCGGGAAUCAAACAGGAUUAGAUACCCUGGUAGUCCGCACGGUAAACGAUGAUUACCCGCUGUCGGCGGCAGACAGUCGGCGGCCAAGCGAAAGCGAUAAGUAAUCCACCUGGGGAGUACGCCGGCAACGGUGAAACUCAAAGGAAUUGGCGGGG